UACGGGGGGGGGCAAGCGUUGUUCGGAAUUACUGGGCGUAAAGGGCUCGUAGGCGGCCAACUAAGUCAGACGUGAAAUCCCUCGGCUUAACCGGGGAACUGCGUCUGAUACUGGAUGGCUUGAGGUUGGGAGAGGGAUGCGGAAUUCCAGGUGUAGCGGUGAAAUGCGUAGAUAUCUGGAGGAACACCGGUGGCGAAGGCGGCAUCCUGGACCAAUUCUGACGCUGAGGAGCGAAAGCCAGGGGGGCAAACGGGG
rnacentral:rRNA from 1 species